GUUGAACGCUGGCGGCAGGCUUAACACAUGCAAGUCGAGCGGGGGAAGGUAGCUUGCUACCGGACCUAGCGGCGGACGGGUGAGUAAUGCUUAGGAAUCUGCCUAUUAGUUGGGGACAACAUCUCGAAAGGGAUGCUAAUACCGCGUACGUCCUACGGGAGAAAGCAGGGGAUCUUCGGUCCUUGCGCUAAUAGAUGAGCCUAAGUCGGAUUAGCUAGUUGGUGGGGUAAAGGCCUACCAAGGCGACGAUCUGUAGCGGGUCUGAGAGGAUGAUCCGCCACACUGGGACUGAGACACGGCCCAGACUCCUACGGGAGGCAGCAGUGGGGAAUAUUGGACAAUGGGGGGAACCCUGAUCCAGCCAUGCCGCGUGUGUGAAGAAGGCCUUAUGGUUGUAAAGCACUUUAAGCGAGGAGGAGGCUACUCUAGUUAAUACCUAGGGAUAGUGGACGCUACUCGCAGAAUAAGCACCGGCUAACUCUGUGCCAGCCGCCGCCGUAA
rnacentral:rRNA from 1 species